rnacentral:rRNA from 1 species
UAGGGAAUCUUCCACAAUGGACGCAAGUCUGAUGGAGCAACGGCCGCGUGAGUGAAGAAGGUUUUCGGACCGUAAAGCUCUGUUGUUGGUGAAGAAGGAUAGAGGUAGUAACUGGCCUUUAUUUGACGGUAAUCAACCAGAAAGUCACGGCUAACUACGUGCCAGCAGCCGCGGUAAUCGUAGGUGGCAAGCGUUGUCCGGAUUUAUUGGGCGUAAAGCGAGCGCAGGCGGAAGAAUAAGUCUGAUGUGAAAGCCCUCGGCUUAACCGAGGAAUUGCAUCGGAAACUGUUUUCUUGGGUGCAGAAGAGGAGAGUAGAACUCCAUGUGUAGCGGUGGAAUGCGUAGAUAUAUGGAAGAAUACCAGUGGCGAAGGCGGCUCUCUGGUCUGCAACUGACGCUGAGGCUCGAAAGCAUGGGUAGCGAACAGGAUUAGAUACCCUGGUAGUCCAUGCCGUAAACGAUGAGUGCUAAGUGUUGGGAGGCUUCCGCCUCUCAGUGCUGCAGCUAACGCAUUAAGCACUCCGCCUGGGGGAGUACGACCGCAAGGUUGAAAC